UACGUAGGAUGCAAGCGUUGUCCGGAAUUAUUGGGCGUAAAGAGCGCGCAGGCGGUAUGACAAGUCAGAUGUGAAAGAGGCCGGCUUAACCGGCAAGGGUCAUUUGAAACUGUCAGACUAGAGUGCAGCAGAGGAUAGUGGAAUUCCCGGUGUAGUGGUGAAAUGCGUAGAUAUCGGGAGGAACACCAGUGGCGAAGGCGACUAUCUGGGCUGCAACUGACGCUGAGGAGCGAAAGCGUGGGUAGCAAACAGG
rnacentral:rRNA from 1 species